rnacentral:rRNA from 1 species
UAGCGUAAUCACUUGUUCUUUAAUUGAGGACUAGUAUGAACGGCCCCACGAGGACUACACUGUCUCCUUUUUCUAAUCAGUGAAACUGAUCUCCUCGUGAAGAAGCGAGGAUAAAUAUAUAAGACGAGAAGACCCUAUGGAGCUUUAAACAACCGGGAUACUUGCUAAUUCUUAAUAUAUUUUCUGAAAACUAAACAAAUUAAAGCAUCUUACCCCCUAGUUUUAGGUUGGGGUGACCACGGAGAAAAAAUCAACCUCCACGCUGUAAGAAGCCUCCCAUCUUCUAAGCUAAGAGUUACAUCUCUAAGCAUCAACACAUUGACUCCCAUUGACCCAAUAAUUUGAUCAACGAACCAAGUUACCCUAGGGAUAACAGCGCAAUCUACUUUGAGAGCUCAUAUCGACAAGUAGGCUUACGACCUCGAUGUU